UAGAGCAAAGUGAUUAUGCAACUUUGGUUGAAACCAACAAUUCGAAAGAGUAUUCAUCAAACACAUGAAGCAUUAUUUCUGCGAAGGAGGAAUCAUAUUCUUUCUACUUAUGUUAAUAUAAUGGGGGGUUGGGGAUAUUGUUACGAGCAAAGUCUACUCAGUAUAUAAAAUGAGAUUUUGUUGUCACUGCAUACUAUUAAAACUAGAGGCAGUAGAUCCAUUAGCCAUUCAAGUUGUGAAUUGUGAUUAUGGACUGUGCUAAAAAAAGCACAUCAAGUUGAUGGUUCACGGGUCACAACUAUAAAUAACUCCUGCACG